UCCAAAUGAUGAUGAUCUCACGAUGGUCUUCUGAGCCUUAUUGGUGAAGGGGCUCUGGUGACACUACCAAAUGGUCUUACUGAUGGCAGCUC